CCCCACAAAUUUCACAAGAGAAAGCUUGGGAAGGUGGUUGGCUUGGGGAUGCCAAGUUCACCUUCUCAAGUUUCUUAGCUAGAGUGUCUAGCUUGGCAUGGAUAUGAUCCAUAGCAUCUACAUCAUACUUCCCUUUGCCACUAACCUUCUUGCUUGUAGACCUUGUGUUCCCCUAAGAGUAAUGCCGCACAACCUCCUCUAUGGUGGGCUCAACGUUAUCAACCGGUAGUUUGGUGAGUUGACCCCCUGCUCCGGAGUCAAGACUAGCUCUUGUCAUGGGAAGCAACCCUCAUAGAAGCUUUGCAUCAACAUCCAUUGACUAUACCCAUGGUGCGGACACGACCUUCGGAGGUCUUUGAACCUAUCCCAUGUCUCAUUCAAACUCUCAUCCUCAUCUUGUAUGAAAUUAGAGAUCUUCCUCCUAGCCUCGGAAGUCUUCUCUUGGGAAUAGAACUCAUCAACAAAAGCCGCCGUUACUUGUGCCCACUUUUGAGAGAACUCAUCUAAUCAAGUGUAGAGAGAACUCAAAGUUAGCGGUUGUUGCCGGCCUCCGUAUCCCACUUUUGAGCUCAAAUGCUUCGGGGAGACCUUAGUCCCUCAAAGCUCUUGGAGCGGGUGGAUCCUCCGCCAUGAUACUAGAAGUAGAAGAACGAGAUUGAUCUUUCUCAAAUACCUCCACCGGUUGCUCCUCACUAGUAGCUAGCACCCUUGGUUCCCGAAAAAUCCUCCUCAAAUCCCGUAAAGUGCGCUCAAAAUUGUGGUCGAUUGGAAGCAAAUGAUCUCUUCGUAACCUUCUUGACAUGCAAACACAAAAGCUAAAGGGAAAGAUUAGCAACACAAGGGUUUACCACCAAGUAGCAAGCAACCAAUCGGUAACCAAAGAAAAAUAAAAAAUAGAAAAGGGGAGGGGGAAUAGAGUUGACUUAGACUCAAAAAUCACAAUUCAAUGCAAUGUAAUCCGUUGCUUCCCCGGCAACGGCGCCAAAUUUUGACACGGUCAUUGCAUGUGCCAAAUUAAAUACCUAACUUAGCCUAAUAUAGGGUAAGAAAGGGUAUUUAAUUUGGCACGUGCAACGACCGUAUCAAAAGUCUGGCUCAAAAGUUUAAUUUGGCUUUGUCGUACAAUGCCAAUGUAUUAUGGUUUAACAUUGGAUCAGGUAGGAUCUUUUGAGUGUUUACGAUAUCAAAAUUUUAAUAAAGAUUGGAUCCUUUCUCCAGUUAGUGGAUUAGUUCAACCAAAGACAAGCCACCAUUUAAUAUGAAAUUUGGGCUAAUUUCUCCUAUAAUUUGAAGAUCAAAAUAUGUGUUUGGUUUGAUUUUGACUGUUUUUAUAGCAAUUUAUGUGAUAAUUCUUGGUGAUAAUGUGAAUUCUGGGAGUUUAGGGUCUGAGUUUAUUCUCCCCUAAUUUGAAGAUCAUGUUUGUGUUUUGCUUGAUUUUGACUGAUUUUAUAACAAUUUCUGUAAUUAUUUGUUGAUACACUAGUGGAAAAAACUGCUUUUGCUACUUAUCAAAUGCUUUGGUUGUCUAAUCAACCCAAGCAUUUGUGAAAAUUUUAAUAAAUAAAAUUCACAAAUGCUUGUGUUGAUUAGUCAAUCGGAGCAUUUGAUGUCAAAUGCUCCGGUUGAUUAAUCAACACAAGCAGUUGUGAAUAAGUGCUCCGCGCCUCUAGUCAAUCAACCCGAGCAUUUGACUGUCCUUUUUCUUAUUACUAAUUGAUUCCCCUUACUUCCCUCCCUCUUCUAAUGAAAUUAUUGCUUCCCCCCCUAGUAUUUCGCCUUUUUGUUCUCUCCCUCCCUUCACUGGUUUCUCUUUCUCUCUCAUCCUGUCUUCAUAUCCUUCCAUACUCCAUUUCUGCCCUCCUUCUCUCCAUCCCCUUAUCAUCACCUUGGUUUCCAGUUCAAUUUUCACUUGCAUUUUACCCAUUCUUCACAAAAACAAAUUUUGAUGUCGUUUCUAGAUGGUCUGAUUACUAGUUCUUAGCGUCGUUCUUCAGCACCGCGGUAGGAGGCGGCGGCGAUGGUGGUUCUUCAGCAUUGCUCUCUCUCUCAUCCGUUUUGUGUGAGGAUUGAAGCCCGUCAUUGCUGUGUUGCCAAAGUUCGCCAGAGUUUAUGCCUUCUCCAUAUCCUCACAUCGUUCAUUCAAGUUUCUGAUUUUUUUUUUGUAGUUGAGUGUCAACUUUGUUCACCUAAUUGUAAUUUAAUUGCUCUAUUUGAGUUUUAUUGCUGUAUUUUAGGUUUAUUCUUUUUGGUUUUUCAGAUUUGGGGAUUUUUUUAGGGGUUUCUUUGACUUUUUAGGGUUUUGUUUAAUUCACAAACUUUCACUCUUAUCUCGAUUGAAUCACUCCCUAGCCUUUAGUUCCAGUCACUCCCAUUCCAAUUUUCUCCUCUCCUAGUUUGUAACUGCAAAUGCAAUUUCUAUAUUUUUAUUUUAAGGAUUUCAUGUGAUUUUGUUUGAUUUCUUAGGUUAUUUGUUUUUUUAUGAUGAUUUUGUGUGUUUUUUUUGUUGAGUUAUUCUGAUUUUUCGGUGUUUCUGUGAUCUAAUUUGAUGGGAAACUCCAACACCUGUGGAAAAUCCCGGUAACACAGGUGGAAAUCGCAUCUAUGAAGUCAAGUUUGACAAGGACUCGGGGAAUCUUAUUGACUAGUGGAAAUUGAAUCUCCUACAUUUCACCACCACAACCUCCAUCAGUUCACGUGGGCAAGAAUUCUAAAUUUUUUCUGUUCACACACGUGCUCAAGAAUAUGGAGGUGGUGCCUUUGCAGUUUCUGGAGAUACUGUAGUAGUAUUCUCGAAUUACAAGGAUCAGAGACUCUACCGGCCUGCAGUCGCUUGCUUCGGGAGGUCGAACCUAAUUGGAAAUGAAAGUCGUUUGCAAAGUAUUGGUGAUAGGAUAGCCACUGGACAACAUUUGAGGAUGUUUGAUGCAGUUUACAGUUGCUUAUAUAUUGCUUUGUGCUACGUUUCUUGCGCUAGGGCUUUGGAUAUGGUUUCAACAGACAAAGGACCAGUGAGGAUAGGAGUAGAAUGAAUAAGUCUAUGUUUAUGGUAUUUGCUAUACACUUUUAACUAAUUAUUGUCUAUAAGAUGUAGAUUCUCACAUUAAUUGCUACCCGGCUAAAGAAAUUGAUGUAAUUUUUGGCAUCAGUAUUGGUUUGGCUAUUUUAGUAAAUUUUAUGAGUGUGACAUAUAUUGUAUGUCAUCUUCUCUGUGUAA